GGGAAUGCAUGGCGCCUGGUGGUGCCCGCGGUCUUCAAAACCGUCGUGAGGCAGUGAUCCUGUCUUGGGUGGGUUCGAUUCCCACACAUUCCCGCCA
rnacentral:tRNA from 1 species